AUCUGUGUCUAUACAAUCUUUUUUGUGUGUACUUUUUUUUAUAUUCAGCGAGAUCCACCUGAAGAAGAAAUACCAUUUUGCACAAUAAAGUCUUUUCCAGCUGCUACUGAACACACAAUACAGUGGGCAAGAGACAAGUUUGAAAGUGCUUUUUCACAUAAGCCUUCCCUGUUUAACAAGUUCUGGCAAACCUAUCCAUCAGCAGAAGAAGUGUUGCAGAGAAUAAAAUCUGGGGAAAGUUUAGAAGGCUCUUUCCAAGUGAUUAAGUGCCUGGGUAGAAGACCAAGAAACUGGUCCCAAUGUGUUGAAUUGGCAAGAUUAAAAUUUGAGAAGUACUUUAAUCAUAAGG